GACGUAGGGUGCAAGCGUUGUUCGGAUUUAUUGGGCGUAAAGAGCUCGUAGGCGGCUUGUUGCGUCGACUGUGAAAACCCGCGGCUUAACCGCGGGCUUGCAGUUGAUACGGGCAGGCUAGAGUUCGGUAGGGGAGACUGGAAUUCCUGGUGUAGCGGUGAAAUGCGCAGAUAUCAGGAGGAACACCGGUGGCGAAGGCGGGUCUCUGGGCCGAUACUGACGCUGAGGAGCGAAAGCGUGGGGAGCAAACAGG
rnacentral:rRNA from 1 species